UACGAACGCUGGCGGCGUGCUUAACACAUGCAAGUCGAACGGAAAGGCCCCUUUGGGGGUACUCGAGUGGCGAACGGGUGAGUAACACGUGAGUAACCUGCCCUUGACUUCGGGAUAACUUCAGGAAACUGGGGCUAAUACCGGAUAGGAAUCCUUGCUGCAUGGUGGGGGUUGGAAAGCUUCGGCGGUUUUGGAUGGACUCGCGGCUUAUCAGCUUGUUGGUGGGGUAGUGGCUUACCAAGGCUUUGACGGGUAGCCGGCCUGAGAGGGCGACCGGCCACAUUGGGACUGAGAUACGGCCCAGACUCCUACGGGAGGCAGCGGUGGGGAAUAUUGCACAAUGGGCGGAAGCCUGAUGCAGCAACGCCGCGUGCGGGAUGACGGCCUUCGGGUUGUAAACCGCUUUCAGCAGGGGCGAAGCUUGUGGUGACGGUACCUGCAGAAGAAGCACCGGCUAACUACGUG
rnacentral:rRNA from 1 species